rnacentral:precursor_RNA from 11 species
GCAAAAACACAUGGAUUGCGCCCCUCUCUGUCCCUGAGACCCUAACUUGUGACGUUUAGUUUUUAAGUCCACGGGUUAGGCUCUUGGGAGCUGUGAGUUGUGCCACUGCAUCUGUCCUGAGU